AUCAUACCACACACACCUCCACGGACAUGCUGGCCUCAUCGCCCUGCCCUUCUGCUCGCCGGAGCUCCACUUCCCUGUUUCAGCCUCUCCCAUGGACGCCCCCCUCCCUUCCUGCAGCAAGCCAUGGCGGCAGUCCUCUCCCUCAGUUUCCUCUCAUGGCUAUGGACAUCGGCUGAUCCUUCCCUCCCAUGGCGCCCAUUAUUUCCUUUCCCUACUGUUUCUUGGAUACUAGAUGCUGGAGCUGCCUUCCCAUGGUGCUGUCCUCUUUUAUGGCGCUCCUCUCUGUUCCAAACAACCACUCCCUUAUCCCCUACACCAGUCGUUCACCAUGUGCUCAACAAAAUGUCGCAGCGUGCUGCACCUUGAUUUGUGCAGUCCCGAUUACGUUGUCGUCACCCUGGUGAGAUCCCGAUGUUCCUUCUCCGUUCAAUUCCGCAUCGGCGUUGGUUCGCUGCUAUUAAUUGUGUGUAUGGUUGUAUUUUUGUUGAGGAGCAAAAUCCCAAGUGUUUGGGUAGAGAAGAAGAAAGGAACUCCAGUGCAGCAAACACCCCGUGUUCGAUGAAAUGUUUGAAUCGGAAUCAUCAGCAUAUCCGCAGUUUGGUUUAACUAUGGUACGUUAAUUGAUCACGUGCUAUGGAAGACGACUGGAAUUAAUCUCCAAGUGAUGCUGAUGGACGAAGCUAAAAUGGAUGAAUCAACCAAGUGCCAGGAUAGAAGAUGCUCACCAAGUGGUCGUCAAUUAACAACACUAACUUAGUGUUAUCCCAGGUUGUAAUUUUGUUCUGUUGUGGAUGGUGCUAAGUGCCGGUGGGCUCGGCCUUCUUCUAUAAGUAUAUCCCGUCUUUAGUUUCUCUAUUGAGGAUUGUCACUUAAGCUAGCAUGUAUUUGAAAACCUAUAAAUAUUUUAUACAUUUUAAAUUGUAAUUUUUUUUAAUCACUUUCUUUUGUAAUCACUCCGAUAAUUGUAUAAUGUAAACUUAUUGUAAUAUGAAAUCAUUUUGCAAUAAAGAAUUUUAUUUCCGCUG